ensembl:lncRNA novel transcript
AUGGCUCCUUCCGAAAGAUCAUACUUGCCAGCAUACAACCCAAUCUCCACAUAUCCAAACUAUAAUCGUACAUCUGAUAGUCUACAAGUAGCUCAGGACCUUUGAAGUAUCGGGAAGCAACUCGGACAUUAUAUUCUUGGCCAGGAUGAUAAAACUCAGCCAAACCCCAGUCUAUUAGUCGUAGCUUUCUGUGCUCAUGAUCAAUCAUGACAUUAUGGGGCUUGACAUCUCUGUGCAUAAUUCCCAUGCUGUGACAAUAAUCCAGGGCCUUCAGAAUCUCAUACAUGUAAAAUCGAAUAUCAUAGUCUGUUAACGUCUGGUACAAUUGCUUGAAGUCUGUGUUGUUUACGUGUUCAAAAACCAAGGCGGGGGUUCGUGACACAGGGUCUUUUACAAUGUCUGCCAGUGUGAUGAUGUUGGCGGACAAAGCUGGACUUGAUGUUUGGAGAUCUGGCAGUCACUGUGUUCAGAAGCAGCUUGGGGGUAAGACCUUGUUUCAGACCUGUUUUCUUCACACUGUGGUGGAAGCGGCAGCGGCUGUGGCCGCUCUCCCUUCUGCUCACACAGACAAUAUGGCGGCGAUGGAGUGGGGAG